rnacentral:rRNA from 1 species
UACGGGAGGCAGCAGUGAGGAAUCUUCCACAAUGGGGGCAACCCUGAUGGAGCGACCCGCGUGAAGGAUGAAGGUCUAACGAUUGUAACUUCUUUCUGAGGAGCAUAAUGAGAGUACUCAGAAUAAC